AGCCACCGUAUUUGUUCUAGGCUCUUCUCUAUCCUCUCCACACCUUUCUUCUUCGUGCACGCCUAGGAGCAAGCUGCUGCCCUCUCCCUGGCCAGCCCUCUCCCAUGGCCGCCCCCUCCCUCAGCUUCGUCUUCAGCCGCCGUCGAACCAGGGCGAGCACCCCACGCCCGUCGCCACUCCCAUCCCCUCCCCCUCUCUGCUGAUGGUCACGCGCCCUAGCAUCCGCUCGCCCCUGCGCGCACUCCUCCCCCAUGGCGAGCUCGCCCUCAACUCCCUACCAUGGUGCUCGCCCAGGCUCGCCGGCAUCCAUGGCCGCAGUUCCCUAGAUGCUGCCAGCUCUGGCUCCCUAGACGCCGCCAGCUCUGGCUCGCCGGUCUCCGGGCUCGUUGGAGAUGGCAUAUUACCUCCAAGACCUACAACCUAGUGCUCCUCGACGUCGACAGUCACGACCGCUUCCUCAAGUCCGUUUGCUGCAAGCACGACGAGGUGCUGCUCAUCAUCAAGGUCUACUUCAAGCGCACCGGAGCAGAGUGGAGGCUGGAGAGGAUUAGGAACACUUUCAAGGGGAUCGAGGGAUCCCACAUGUGGCCCUUUCAGAUGAGGAUUCUAUGCUUAGGGCUUACCGUCCUGAUUCUGAUUCUAGGGUGUAGGUUGUAGCUUCAGAAAAAGGAUUGGCGACAUUUUUCCAAUGCACAAUUGCAUGUUCUAAGGCAAAUUUAAGUGGGGUUUAGCAAAUUUUUAACCCAUGUACUGUAUAUUUGUUUGGUUCAGAUAAGUUUACACUAAGGUUUUGCGCUUUUGGCAUUAACUUGGUUUAACUGCCUUUUCCAGCGGUGUAGUAUUUUUUGCCUCUAUAUGUUGUGAGUUAUCCAUUUUGAUUAAGUCCUGAUGAUGUUAGUGUAGCCACUUUAUUAGGAUGUUUUUGCACAAGAUAGCAUGUGUCUAACAUAGCCAUUUUAUAGCAUGAAUCGAUGAAUGUACAUUGCUUGUCGGUUCAUAUGCUGAUUUGGCUUCCAAUGUUGUUCUUGGCUGCAAAUAGAUUAGGUAGCAUAUCUCCUGAGAUAGUACUUCUUCAUCAACUUGCACUAUCGAUUGAGUACAUGCCCUUUCUAUAGUCAGAUUGCAAAGAAAUGGCUUGACUCUCAGGUGAGUUCUCUUUUCUUUGGUGUGUGUGUGUUGAAUGACUAUCAGUAUUUAGGCGUAGAAGUUGAUCCUGCUGGUGUCCAUAGCGCGUAAGGACAUACAUUCUCACUGCUACAUGUAGAUAUAAAUAUUACAGUAGAAUGAACUGAAAGUUUUUUGUUGAAAUUUUAAGAACCAAUAGUUAAUCUUUUGGACAUAAUCAAAGUCUAACUAAAGCCAAAAAGUAUAUUCGCUUUAAAUAGUCUGUUUAUAAAGGGAAUCUAUGGAUCCCACGACUAUUUCCAUUUACUCCUAUGUGCCGGGAGAACACCAUGCACUAAUCUCUGUUUAGUGCCUACAAUGAAAUUUUUGGUCCAUUGUUGAACCAUGCUAAAUAUUAUAUCCUAAAAUUAUACUAUUUAUUACCAAAUGCUGGGUUUGUUUCAUGGAAUUACCAAGUGCACGCAGUACGCCUCUGAGCAAUCGAUUCUCACGCCACUCCUCCACGAUCUCCAUUAAAGACACUUCAGACAGAUCGAGAGCUUCUCCAUAUAACACACUAGACUGUGUUUCAUGUAUCCUCGUCCUUGAUAACACACAUAUAAAAUCCUAUUAAAAAUUUAUAAUAGUGAAAAGCUUUUGGCAAAUGCAUGUUUUGAUUGAUGUUACGCAGACAAUAAUUUUUUGACUAAGUACUGCAACAAUUGAGUUGUUGAAGCAUUCAUGUACAUUUUUGUUCCAUGAAACGAAACUCAUUGUGAUCUUUCUCUCAAAGUUGUAGGACCAUGGCUGAAGACAAGAGUCAUCCAUGGUUGAAUGAGCGGAUCAUGUCAUUCCUCUCAAAACGGUCGGUCGUUGUGCAUUCCUGACAAGACUUGGAGAUAGGUGAGUACAUCUACUUUUGCAUUGUAGUAUGAUUCUAGUGGUUUAUACAAGCUGAUGCUUUAUAUUAUACUUUUGUUAUAUUAAAACCGAUCUAGGGCUUUAUUAAAUUUUGAUCCACCAGUGUCAUCACUUACUAUUAUAACAGUUUCCUACGAGCGCGGGGCACGCCCAAGUUACUAGUAUAUUUAUAGUAUGUCUCCUUUAUAUGACACAAAUGGAUGUGUGCUCUAGCGGUAUAAGUUGCUUGCUUUGAGCCGAACAUCUUGGGUUUGAAUCCUGUCCACGCAUAAUUUUUUUGGUAUUAUUCCGCACGAGCCACACGAAGACUGGGUAUUUGAUUGAAUAUGUACACAGAAAGCUCUGAAUGCAUUAUGCAAUUCUAAUAUUUUGCUAAAUGUGGUCACCUAUUAUGUUUGUUAAUCUCUGAAGUAGUAGUCCAGUCUAGUGAGUUGUGGUUGAAGUAAUUUAACUCAUAAUAAACUAUUCUUAAUCAUAGUCACAUUUUCUAGAAAGGGACAACUGACCCUAGUCAGACAUAUGAGAGGGAUACUUAUGUGUUGCACUUCUAUCGAAGAGCAUGCUAUAAGUUCAAAGUAAAAUAGUAUAGAAUCAAUUUUUAAUUUUCACCCUAUAAAUUUAAGAUAAGCUUAUAUCUAAAAUUCAAAAUGUUUUGAAAUACAAAUUAGCCUAGCCCAUUAAGUAGAUUACAAUUCCAACAAAAAUAAAGGGAUCCAAGUGGGCCCUUUGAAAAGUUGAAUGAUUCUAAUGUGCUAUAUCAUACAACGAUGCCAAUUAAUAUCUUUUGUUUUUUCUACUAACCAUAUUGCUAUGCUAUUGGCAAAGCUUUCAUUCAUUCUUAAUUUACCAACAAAAGGCUCCUUGAGAUAAAAAAGAUACUGGAAGUCAUUGGAGGCGAACAGAUGGUAACAUAUCAUGUACAUAUAAGAUUGUUGUAUCAUUAGAAGUACCUAACUAAUAAUUGUAGCAUUAGAGCCUUACAAAUCAAUUAAAGUACUACUACAUUAAUACAUUAUGGAGGCCAUUAUCACCAAUACAGAGCAUGCUAAGCCAGAGCACAAAGGCCUUUUGAGAGUCCAUGAAGUGGGAGGUGGCUCUACGAUGGGUUGACUCCACUCAAUUGGAUCUGAUCUUACUCGUAUUCAAGAGCUACUAGAGCUGCGGUAGAAUGUGUCCAUGCAGAGCGAGCAAGAGGCCUCUGCAGUGGGUAUGGAUUCAAGCAAGACUCACAACAAGUGUGCAUGAGGUAUAUAUGCAAUCUGAUGUCCUAGCAGUCAAGAAAUGGUAUAGUCUAGGGUCUUGGUGAUCUCAAAUAUUAUGUUAAAUGUAUUUGUUAGAAUAAUUAGUGUGAUCUUAAUUUAGUUGGUGUGCUAUACAUAAUAGUCUAGAUUAGUAGUUCUAAAAGUUAGUUGAAGUAUUUCUAUUCAUUAUUGAGGAUUGUCACUCUUUAUUGAGGAUUAUGUAUAACUUCUUUAUUGAGGAUUGUCACUCUUUAUGUAUUUCUAUCUAUAGUUUCUUUAUUGA